rnacentral:rRNA from 1 species
UGCGUAGGCGGUGAGUUAAGUCUGAUGUGAAAUCCCCGGGCUCAACCUGGGAAUGGCAUUGGAUACUGGCUCGCUAGAGUACGGUAGAGGGUGGUGGAAUUCCCGGUGUAGCAGUGAAAUGCGUAGAGAUCGGGAGGAACAUCUGUGGCGAAGGCGGCCACCUGGACCAGUACUGACGCUGAGGCACGAAAGCGUGGGAGCAAACA